rnacentral:rRNA from 1 species
GACGAACGCUGGCGGCGUGCUUAACACAUGCAAGUCGAACGAUGAAGAAGAGAAACGCGAACUUCGGUUCAAAUUUCACUUCGGAUUAGUGGCAGACGGGUGAGUAACGCGUGAGCAACCUACCUCUUACAAAGGGAUAGCCUCGGGAAACCGUGAUUAAUACCAUAUGACACAUUCAUAAGGCAUCUUAAGAAUGUUAAAGAUACGGCGGUAAGAGAUGGGCUCGCGUCCCAUUAGCUAGUUGGUGAGGUAACGGCCCACCAAGGCGACGAUGGGUAACCGGCCUGAGAGGGUGAACGGUCACAUUGGAACUGAGACACGGUCCAAACUCCUACGGGAGGCAGCAGUGGGGAAUAUUGCACAAUGGAGGGAACUCUGAUGCAGCGACGCCGCGUGAGCGAUGAAGGAAUUCGUUUCGUAAAGCUCUGUUCUAUGGGAAGAAAAGGACUGUACCAUAGGAGAAAGCCCCGGCUAAAUACGUG